UCAGCUGGCGGGUGCUAACACAUGCAAGUCGCACGAGAAAGGGCUUUCGGGCCUGAGUAAAGUGGCGCACGGGUGAGUAACACGUGAAUGAUCUACCUCCGAGUGGGGAAUAACCUAGGGAAACCUGGGCUAAUACCGCAUAACACUUACGAGUCAAAGCAGCAAUGCGCUUGGAGAGGAGUUCGCGGCAGAUUAGCUAGUUGGUGGGGUAAUGGCCUACCAAGGCGAUGAUCUGUAUCCGGCCUGAGAGGGCGCACGGACACACUGGAACUGAAACACGGUCCAGACUCCUACGGGAGGCAGCAGUGGGGAAUUUUGCGCAAUUGGGGGAAACCCUGACGCAGCAACGCCGCGUGGAGGAUGAAAUCCCCUGGGAUGUAAACUCCUUUCGAUCGGGAAGAUAAUGACGGUACCGAGAGACGAAGCCCCGGCUAACUUCGUGCCAGCAGCCGAGGUAAUACAGAGGUGGGGCAAGCGUUGUACGGAAUUAUUGGGCGUAAAGUGGUGCGUAAGCGGUUUGAUAAGUUUGGUUGUGAAAUCUAUGGGCUCA
rnacentral:rRNA from 1 species